GACGAACGCUGGCGGCGUGCUUAACACAUGCAAGUGGAGCGACGAACCAGGCUUCGGCCUGGGGCAGAGCCGCGAACGGGUGAGUAACACGUGGGUAACCUGCCCUGAUGAUUGGGACAACCCGGGGAAACCCGGGCUAAUACCGAAUGUGCAUCUGACACAUAAGUGUCAGAUGGAAAGGAAGCUUCGGCCUCCGCAUCGGGAUGGGCCCGCGGCCCAUUAGCUUGUUGGUGAGGUAAUGGCUCACCAAGGCUUCGAUGGGUAGCUGGUCUGAGAGGACGAUCAGCCACACUGGGACUGAGACACGGCCCAGACUCCUACGGGAGGCAGCAGUGGGGAAUCUUGCGCAAUGCGCGAAAGCGUGACGCAGCAACGCCGCGUGGGGGAAGAAGGCCUUCGGGUCGUAAACCCCUUUCAGGAGGGACGAAGCCCAGGCGGUUAAUAGCCGACCUGGGUGACGGUACCUCCACAAGAAGCCCCGGCUAACUACGUGCCAGCCGCCGCAGUAAAAC
rnacentral:rRNA from 1 species